CCAGUCCUUGACGCAACAAUAGCUCGUAAUGCCCGGCGUCCAGCACCUGAGAAGAAUAUUUUAAUCAGUUCCGAUUUUAUCUUGCUAAUGACUAGACGACACAACUUCCUGGCGGUCUCUCUUAGAUAUUUAUGAAAGGAAUCGUUGAGAUCAUCGUGGCAUCGAACUAACGUCUAAUGUUUAAAUUAACCGAAUUAUCGUACGACGUGGCUGAUUAAGAUUACGGGGCUUUUAACGAAAAUCUAUGUAUUUUCUCUUCCUUUUUCGUGUCAGCAUUUCGCCAGCGAGGUAAUUACCUCGACGCGUAUAUAUUGUCGCCAACGUUCAACGCUUCCUGUCGUGAUCCCCUGUUUCGUCAGCGCGGAGUUAAUAUCUUGCAGUGGAAUGGCCCAGGGUACAUCACGAAGAAGAACCGCCUGUCUAUAACGAGAGUCCUUUGCUGAGAAUCGAGCCACCUGAUUGAAAAAAAGAAACAUUAUAAUUAAUUGAAAAGAAUGCAAAAGACAGGAAUGAAAGAGGAGAAAGGAAUAAAUAUGCAAAUAAAAUAUUCAUAACAUCGCCUAAACGAUCAGAGAUUUGGUGAGACAAGCCUACGUUGUGCAAGCUCGGUUAUCUCAUUUUCUUGCAUAAGAGAAAGCGAAGAGGAAAGCGGCCGAUUACAACGUGAAGUAACAUUUAUAUGGUAAUUUCAUACGCAAUUUACUGUUGAAUUUGUACAUUUGCAUAGUUACUCUUCAGUACGGAGAGAAAAAUGUGAUAUCAAAAUUUUAUACCUGGAUAAUUAUUAAGGAAAUUAGAAGAAUUACGAGCUUACGUAUUGUAUAUGUACAUAUUUCUUUGUAUCUUUAAAUAUAACACGUUCGCUUCACGUUAAAUUCAAUAAAAGGGCACAUAGUUUCAAGAUAUAUACACGAUGUCGAAUAUUUGAUUAAAUUUUCAUCAAUUAUGUAAACAAUAUAGAAAUAAAAUAUGACGAUGCACAAUGUAUAGCAAUUAUUUAUACAUUACGUAUAUUUAUGCGAAUUUGUAAAGAAGAACGUUAUAACCUGGUCAUUUCUUUAUACUUUUGUAUACUACUAUCUGUAUUCUGUACAUUUCAUUAAAUUUUCUAUAAACGUAUAAACGAAUUUAUAAUCUAUUUAUAAGUAAUAGAAUAAUAAAUUCGAGCAGUAA